rnacentral:rRNA from 1 species
AACGCGAAGAACCUUACCCAGGCUUGACAUCCCUGGAAUUUCUCCGAAAGGAGAGAGUGCCUUUACAGGAAUCAGGUGACAGGUGAUGCAUGGCCGUCGUCAGCUCGUGUCGUGAGAUGUAGGGUUAAGUCCCUCAACGAGCGCAACCCCUAUAGUUAGUUGAAUUUUUCUAGCUAGACUGCCCUGGUAACAGGGAGGAAGGAGGGGAUGAUGUCAGGUCAGUAUUUCCCUUACGUCUGGGGCUACAAACACGCUACAAUGGCCGGUACAAAGGGCAGCCAAGUCGCAAGACGGAGCAAAUCCCAUCAAAACCGGUCCCAAUUCGGAUUGCAGGCUGAAACUCGCCUGCAUGAAGCUGGAAUCGCUAGUAAUGGUAGGUCAGCACACUACCGUGAAUACGUUCCCGGGCCUUGUA